rnacentral:rRNA from 1 species
CGAAGCGACCCCAGGUCAGGCGGGGCU